rnacentral:lncRNA from 1 species
AACGUUUAAAGCCAUUGCAGGUAGAAGAAGAGAGUCUCCGCGAUUUAAAAUAUGUUCAACCAAAAGACUGCAUCAUCGCAUUCUCGAGAAGAAGUGUUUAUGAAAUUAAGAAUAGGAUAGAGGAAUCAACCUCGUAUCGAUGUUGUAUGAUCUAUGGUUCAUUACCAUCUUACACACGACAAAGACAGGCUGAGCUAUUUAACGAAGAAAAUAAUAAUUUUGAUAUUUUGAUAGCAACCGAUGCUGUGGGAAUGGGGAUGAAUUUAAAUAUCCGAAGGGUUGUAUUUUCCUCAUUUUUGAAAUACGACAGGUAUGGACAACAUCAAAUUUCGGCCUCUCAAGUCAAACAAAUUGCAGGACGAGCCGGAAUGAGAGGAUCUCCAUACCAUCAUGGACUAUGCACAACUUUAGAAGAUUGUGAUUUACAAUAUUUACGACACUGUCUUGAAAAACCGUUGGGAGAUAUGCAACAGAUGGGUCUUUUCCCUCUCUACGAGCAUCUGAACUCAUUUAUGAACCUUGCGAAAGAAAAACUUGAGUUUUACAAUAUGUUAACUAGAUUUAAAGAAUCCAGUUGUAUGGAUGAUGAAUAUUUCAUGUGCGAUGUCGAACAGUUCGAGACGGUAGCAUUUGCAUUGAGAUCGAUCUCCACCGGUCUCUCUUUUAAAGAAAGAUUCAAUUUUUGUAUGGCACCAGUGAACAUAAAGAAUCGUGAUGUAAUGCGACAUCUCUGUAUCUUCGCAGAGUUAUACAGUAAAAAUCUUCCAAUAACAUUUUCUAUUGAAUUGGAUACUACAUCAUCCAUAGAAGAUGAGAGAGAUUUGAUGGUUUUGGAAACAUACAAUCAAAUUCUGACUGUGUAUAUAUGGCUAUCUCAACAACUUGAUAUCCAAAGAUUUACGCAGAUAAAAGAGGCAGAGAUGAUCAUAAGCAAUAUUAACUCUUCCAUUUCAAAUUUUUUGUUUAAAGCAGUCAAAUAAUAUCGAUCAAGAAAUGUAUUUUUUUUAAACGGAAUGUACUAGAUUUUUUAAAAUUUUUAUGAUAUAUAUAUGAUAAGAAUUAGUUAAUUUAGUUGUUCAUAGCUAGUAGUUUAAACUGUUGUUAGUUGAGUUAACUGAAUAUUAGUGUUAGAUUGUAGUAUAUAAUAAGGAGAUUGAGGAUACUUUGGAUAAUAUAUAUACUCAAUGUAUUUAAAUCAGUCAAAUAUUUAUAUCAGUCAAAUAUUUAAAUCAGUCAAAUACUUUGGAUAAUAUACCCAAUAAGGAGAGAUUUUUUUUUUAAGCAUUCAAAUAUUUACCGAGAAAUGUAUUUAAAUCUCAACCGUCUAUUAAAAAAACAUUUAGAUUUGCACCAUAUUUUUAACCAUCCAUCCAAAAAACCAUUGGAUUUAAAAUCAACGAUAGGAUUAAAGAUAUCUCGUAUUUAGGAUUCAACAGAACUCUUCUAAAAUAUAAAGUGCAGGUGCGCACCUACUAAUAUACGCACCGAGCGCACCCUAUUAAUUAUUACUUCCUUAAAAAAUAACUAAUUACUACGAUCUAUUGAACCUAUCUGUACCUACUAUUCCUAUACAUCAAUUGUCAUGUCAUUCAUUUGCCUAUUUAACUAAACCCAUUACCUAUUGAUUAUGUCAAUCAUGCGAUCAUACCCUCCUUCCUCUUCCAAACGACUUCCUUUCUCUCACACCCAUUUCAAUCCCCCAACCUUCCACAACUCUUCAUACCCUCCUUCCUCUAAACACAUUUCUAAUCACCCGUCUUCUUGAUCGGCUACUCCUACUGCCUUUUGUUUCCGAAACAAUUUUUCAGUCGCCCGUCGUUAUCUUCGGUCGUCUGUUUCUACAGUAGUAUCCCCAUUGUUCGCACUCGGUAAUUUUUCCAAUCAUAGAUGAGUAUUUUAUACUAGUUUCUUUUUCCCUUUAUUAUGUUCUGUAAUCUAUUACCUAUGAAAAACAUCAAAUGCCACCUAUAAACAACUACUGACACCCAUAAACUAAAAACACUAUUACCUAUCGCAAUUAUGUACUACCACUAACCCUAACCCUAGUGCAAUUUUGUACCACCACUAACCCUAACACUAGUACAAUGAUGCAUCACCACUAACCCUAACCCUAACACUAGUGCAAUUAUACACCACCACUAAACCCAACCCAAACACUAGUGCAAUUAUGUACCGCCACUAACCCUAAUCCUAAACCUAAACCUAACACUAGUUCAAUUAUGCACCACAACUAACCCUAACCCUAAUCCCUAGUGCAAUUAUGUAACCCCACUAACCCUAACCCUAACACUAGUGUAAUUCGUGGGAGGCCCGACCAAGCAUUUCACACGUGCAAUUCGUGUGAGUCUCGAUCAAGGAUUGCAAUCUAGUGCAAUUCGUGAUAGGCUCGAUUAAGCAUUUCACGCGUGCAAUUCGUGUGUUUGUGAAAAUUUUAGGGUUGUCCCAUGACAAGCGGCAUUUAUUACUCAUGCCUUCAAACCAGUGGACAGUUGGGGGUAAUUUUCAAAUUUCAACUAUCGAUCGACUCAGAUGACAAUAAGUACAACACAAAAAGAUUAACUCAACUAAUCAUAAUUACUAUCAAGGUUUUUUCGAGUCCAGGUUCGAGUUUAUAUAUUAUGUGCGUUGUUUAAAAAUAUAUUUUUUUAUUUUAGGAUUUGAAUUUACAUUUUUUUUUAAUUAACCAUGGAUGGAGGUGUAAAUGGGUCUGGAUCCGACCCGGUCUGAACCCAGCUGCCUGGAUCCAGAGCUGAGGUUAAUUUUAACCCUAUUAAACAUUUUGGGGUCUGGGUUCAAACUCAGAUCCAAAUAUUAUAAUUAAAAAUAUAAAUUAUUAAUAUUAUUUUUAAUCUUAGGGUUUUAAUUAUAAAAGUAACCUAUAUCAUCUUCAACGACCUUAGGGUUUAAUUAUAAAAAUACUCAUUAUAUUUUCUUAAUCUUAUUUAUUUUCUAAAUUACACAAUUACACAUGCUUAAUCCCAACACAAUCCAAAUACCUUAGGUUUUUUUCCAAAAACUGUGACUUUUGAUUCUGUAUGACUAAUUAAAUAUCUAAAUACUUACAUUAUUACUGACUUACUGUAUUACAGGAUAUUUUAAAGUUAAUAUUUUAAUGUUUUUAUUAAUUUUUUAAAGUUAUGAUCUAUUUUUAUAAUGAUCUAUUUUCUAUUUUGUAUGAUCUAUUUUGUAUGAUCUAUAACUUCUCUCUAUAUCCCAUAAUCUUUGUGAAUGAAAAACAUCUGUCAUUCUUUACACGGAUAAAUCAUUUGACAAAAGAAAACAUCAUUCAAUGUCUGUAGAAGAAGAAUGUUGUGACUGUUUCAACGUUGUGAAGAAGAAGCAUUACAAUGGGUGGAGUGAGAUCUUCAAAGAAUUUAAAAAAUGCAAAAGCCGUCGCCGUUUUAAAAAUCGCCGUUCCAAUAAUCAAUUUGAGCUUUCAAUGUACAAUAUCAUGCAUGGAUUUUCAUCAUCAAAUUAGGUCCGUGAAAAAGCUGUAUCUUCUUACAUUCCGAAAUAUAUGUUUUUCAAUCUGUUCUCAAGCUUCAGAGAUUUCGUUAAAUCUCGCCUAAAGUUCGACCGUUAGACCACUUAGUUAAACUUGGGUGUUCAUCGAGCUCCUACUGUUUUUUAUUCCAUAUUUUUGUUGAAUUCUGUUCUUAUCAAUUUCCAAAUAUGAUAGAAACAAACAAAGAUAUGGUGGAAUAUUGUGUCGAACUUACAAAACAACCCAAAACAUGGUAUCCGACAACUCGUUCCGUGAAACGGUCUAUUAUCUAUCAUUGCGGGCCGACAAACAGUGGAAAAACUCAGCCGCACUGAAAAGAUUUAUGGAUCACAACCACAAGGCAAUUUAUUGUAGUCCCUUGCGUCUUUUGGCCAUCGAGGUUUGUGACAGAGUGAAUGCGUCUGGGAUUUCAUGUAAUCUGAUUACAGGUCAAAAAAAAUUAUGAAACCGCUAUCAACACAUAUUUCUUGUACAAUCGAAACAAUCACAACGGAUGACUAUUACGAUGUCGCAAUAAUUGAUGAGAUCCAAAUGGCGUGUGACGAACAACGUGGUGGGUCUUGGCCAAGAGCGUUGCUUGGGAUAAAAGCCAACGAGAUCCACUUAUGCGGAGAUACGACUGCUUGAAGAUGAUCACCAAGAUAUGUCAAGAAUUGGAGGAAGAUCUUACAAUAAAGAGAUAUGAACGUUUAAAGCCAUUGCAGGUAGAAGAAGAGAGUCUCCGCGAUUUAAAAUAUGUUCAACCAAAAGACUGCAUCAUCGCAUUCUCGAGAAGAAGUGUUUAUGAAAUUAAGAAUAGGAUAGAGGAAUCAACCUCGUAUCGAUGUUGUAUGAUCUAUGGUUCAUUACCAUCUUACACACGACAAAGACAGGCUGAGCUAUUUAACGAAGAAAAUAAUAAUUUUGAUAUUUUG